GACGAACCGUGCGAACGUUGUUCGGAAUCACUGGGCUUAAAGGGCGCGUAGGCGGGCUGUCAAGUCUGGGGUGAAAUGCCGCGGCUCAACCGUGGAACUGCCUUAGAUACUGACGGCCUCGAGGGAGGUAGGGGCGUGCGGAACUGUAGGUGGAGCGGUGAAAUGCGUUGAUAUCUACAGGAACUCCGGUGGCGAAAGCGGCGCGCUGGACCCCUUCUGACGCUGAGGCGCGAAAGCUAGGGGAGCAAACGGG
rnacentral:rRNA from 1 species